AAAGAAAUGGAAAUUGG
rnacentral:miRNA from 1 species